AAGUCUGGAGCACCUCCGUUAGAGUUAAGAGUUAGCUGAAGGUACACAGUGUAGGUUCUCAGUCCAAGCUUCAAGGCCAGGACCCAACCUCUUCCAGAUCUACAGGAAUUUGCAUUUCUGUAGUACUUGUGCCUAUCCUCCAAUAGCCUACCAAUCUGUCCCCCCCGCACAGCGCCAGGGAGACCCCACCAGGAAGGCUGGCGGAGACCUGCCACUGCUCAGCCGCUUGCUCCUCCCCUAUGUGGGCAGUGACCCUGUGCUCACGAUGUCGCACCUUCGGAGCUUGCCUGAGCACAAUCCACAGCAUCCAGCGGCAGGACAAGGAGCACAGCACACAGGCUCAUUCAAGUCUGCUCAGCAACUAAGUGAAAUUCGCGCCAAGGCAUCCGGAAAAACCCGCCUUCCCUUCUGACUGGCAAGUCAGCCUAAAGGAUCUGAUUGGCCAAUAAGUCUUGAGUGACUCGAGCACCUCCCUUAAAGCCCCAGGGAGGCCCCAUCAGGAAGGCAGCCGGAGAUCUGCCACUACUCAGUGGCUUGCUCCUCCCCUAUGUGGGCAGUGACCCUGUGCUCACCAGGUCCUGACUUCAGCCCCAGCUUCCCUAACUCACUAGGCUGUUUGACUUCUCCCUCCUGGAAUUAAGUGUAAUUAAUUUUGAUGCAUUUGUGCCGUGGUGCAGCCCCAGCGUGAGGUAUUUCUUCUUUCUUUUCGGUUCUUCUUGAGGCAACGGAGAGGUAAGAGCAUAGGCGGAGGGUAAGGCUUUGUCUUAACAAAAAUUUAGGGUUGCUGUAUAAUAAAAAGUUUACUUAUCUAAGUCUAAGUUACUAUGCUGUUGUACCUGACCUGCGUUCUGUGAUCCUCUCAGGUCAGAAACUGCAGUUUCUGGCACUCAGCACCUCAUCCUAAAACAGCAGAUUAAGUAAAGAAUUAAUUGCUAGACCCUUUCCCCUGUUCUCCAGAUGCCACUUGCUUUCGGGAUAGGAGGAUGUUUGGAGCUAUAAACUUCUACUGAGCCAGGAGAAGUAAAUAACACUCGCAGAAAGAAAAAACUUUUACAUAAGCAAAUAUGCAUAAUCUCACAUAAAUUCAUAUUCAGCUUCAUUCAUGCUCACUUAUUCAUUUUCAUUAGAAGCCAGAUGGGCCCAGCUUUCAUGCAUUCUCACAAUUACAUACUUACACACACACAUGCAGACAUUCUCACAAUUACAUAAUUACACACACAUCCAUAUUUACAUAUGCAUAUGGAGCAUAAGACCCAGCAUGGUUGCAGAAAGAACUCACACAUUCUAGAUGAAAACUAAAUGCACUCCAAUCUGUAUUACAUAGAGAAAGAAAAGGCUUCUACCUUCUUAAUGCUAAAUGAAUUAAACCCAUGUUUGUAAGAAAAAAUCUUUGUUUCUUUUAAUAAGACUAAACCUGCCUUGUCCUUACCAUGGGAUCUGCUCUGUCCCACGGUAAGGAGAAGCCUGCUUGCUCCUUCUGCUCUCAGCAUCAUCUACUUUUUUCUUCUUUCCCUCUGCAUUCUACACAUUGCUCUCUUAGUAGUUUAUGUUACCUAUAAUUUCCAAGCUACUCCACUCUGCAUUCUCCUUCAAAAAUCAUCUCCUCAGCUCAGUUCUCUCACCUCCAUUCCUCUCACCCCCAGC